GGCCUAUUAGCUCAGUUGGUUAGAGCGUCGUGCUAAUAACGUGAAGGUCACAGGUUUGAAACCUGUAUAGGCCA
rnacentral:tRNA from 1 species